AUGUCUGGGAAACUGCCCGAUGGAGGGGGAUAACUACUGGAAACGGUAGCUAAUACCGCAUAACGUCGCAAGACCAAANAGGGGGACCUUCGGGCCUCUUGCCAUCAGAUGUGCCCAGAUGGGAUUAGCUAGUAGGUGGGGUAACGGCUCACCUAGGCGACGAUCCCUAGCUGGUCUGAGAGGAUGACCAGCCACACUGGAACUGAGACACGGUCCAGACUCCUACGGGAGGCAGCAUG
rnacentral:rRNA from 1 species